rnacentral:rRNA from 1 species
AUUGAACGCUGGCGGCAGGCUUAACACAUGCAAGUCGAGCGGGGUGAUGGCGCUUGCACUAUCACUUAGCGGCGGACGGGUGAGUAAUGCUUAGGAAUCUGCCUAUUAGUGGGGGACAACAUCUCGAAAGGGAUGCUAAUACCGCAUACGUCCUACGGGAGAAAGCAGGGGAUCACUUGUGACCUUGCGCUAAUAGAUGAGCCUAAGUCGGAUUAGCUAGUUGGUGGGGUAAAGGCCUACCAAGGCGACGAUCUGUAGCGGGUCUGAGGGGAUUAUGCGCCACACUGGGACGGAGACACGGCCCAGGCUCCUACGGGAGGGAGCAAGUGGGACUAUUGGACAAUGGGGGGAACCCGGAUCCAGCCAUGCCGCGUGUGUGAAGAAGGCCUUAUGGUUGUAAAGCACUUUAAGCUAGGAGGAGGCUCUUUUGGUUAAUACCCAAGAUGAGUGGACGUUACUCGCAGAAUAAGCACCGGCUAACUCUGUGCCAGCCGCCGCCGUAA